CACGUGGACAACCUACCCUAAGGAGGGGGAUAACCCCGGAAAACUGGGGAUAAUACCCCAUAGAUUAUAGAAGCUGGAAUGCUCUGUAGUCGAAAGGUCCGCCGCCUUAGGAUGGGUCUGCGGCCGAUUAGGUUGUUGUUGGGGUAAAGGCCCAACAAGCCGUUGAUCGGUACGGGUUGUGAGAGCAAGAGCCCGGAGAUGGAUUCUGAGACACGAAUCCAGGCCCUACGGGGCGCAGCAGGCGCGAAAACUUUACAAUGCGGGAAACCGUGAUAAGGGAACCCCGAGUGCCCGUAAAAUCGGGCUGUCCAUCAGUGUAAAUAACUGGUGAAGAAAGGGCCGGGCAAGACCGGUGCCAGCCGCCGCGGUAAUACCGGCGGCUCGAGUGGUGGCCACUAUUAUUGGGCUUAAAGCGUCCGUAGCUUGAUUGUUAAGUCUCUUGGGAAAUCUACCGGCUCAACCGAUAGGCGUUCAAGGGAUACUGGCAAUCUAGGGACCGGGAGAGGUGAGAGGUACUCCA
rnacentral:rRNA from 1 species